rnacentral:rRNA from 1 species
UACGUAGGGAGCAAGCGUUAUCCGGAAUUAUUGGGUGUAAAGGGUGCGUAGACGGGAUAACAAGUUGGUUGUGAAACCCCUCGGCUCAACUGAGGAACUGCAACCAAAACUAUUAUUCUUGAGUGCAGGAGAGGAAAGUGGAAUUCCUAGUGUAGCGGUGAAAUGCGUAGAUAUUAGGAAGAACACCGGUGGCGAAGGCGACUUUCUGGACUGUAACUGACGUUGAGGCACGAAAGUGUGGGGAGCAAACA